GGUUGACCUCGGAUCAGGUAGGGAUACCCGCUGAACUUAAGCAUAUCAAUAAGCGGAGGAAAAGAAACCAACCGGGAUUGCCCCAGUAACGGCGAGUGAAGCGGCAAGAGCUCAAAUUUGAAAUCUGGCCCCCCCGGGGUCCGAGUUGUAAUUUGCAGAGGAUGCUUCGGGUGCGGCCCCCGUCUAAGUGCCCUGGAACGGGCCGUCAGAGAGGGUGAGAAUCCCGUCUUGGGCGGGGUGUCCGUGCCCGUGUGAAGCUCCUUCGACGAGUCGAGUUGUUUGGGAAUGCAGCUCUAAAUGGGUGGUAAAUUUCAUCUAAAGCUAAAUACCGGCCGGAGACCGAUAGCGCACAAGUAGAGUGAUCGAAAGAUGAAAAGCACUUUGAAAAGAGAGUUAAACAGCACGUGAAAUUGUUGAAAGGGAAGCGCUUGCGACCAGACUCGCCCGCGGGGUUCCCCCGGCACUCGUGCCGGUGUACUUCCCCGUGGGUGGGCCAGCGUCGGUUUGGGCGGUCGGUCAAAGGCCCCCGGAAUGUAUCGCCCUUCGGGGUUGUCUUAUAGCCGGGGGUGCAAUGCGGCCAGCCCGGACCGAGGAACGCGCUUCGGCACGGACGCUGGCGUAAUGGUCGUAAACGACC
rnacentral:rRNA from 1 species